GAGGUCGACGCGAUAUUGAUUCGAAAUUGAAAUAAUUCGUAAACAGUUUUAUUAUCAGCAACUCAUUGAGAUUGACUGGCGAGUUGGUGUUUUAGAACUUAGAUGAGUUAAGUUGGUUAAUAAUCUAGAAAUGGCGUUCUCCUUACUCUUUGACUCAAUUUUAUUUUUAACUAGCUAUGCAAAAUAGUUAUUGUGCAGCCCGCAGUUAUAAAACAAAAACUAAAAUAAAAGUAGCCUAAGUUACUCUUUAUUACAUCAGCUAUCUGCCA